CGUACACUCCUACGGGAGGCAGCAGUGGGGAAUAUUGGACAAUGGGCGCAAGCCUGAUCCAGCCAUGCCGCGUGAGUGAUGAAGGCCCUAGGGUUGUAAAGCUCUUUCACCGGUGAAGAUAAUGACGGUAACCGGAGAAGAAGCCCCGGCUAACUUCGUGCCAGCAGCCGCGGUAAUACGAAGGGGGCUAGCGUUGUUCGGAUUUACUGGGCGUAAAGCGCACGUAGGCGGACUAUUAAGUCAGGGGUGAAAUCCCGGGGCUCAACCCCGGAACUGCCUUUGAUACUGGUAGUCUUGAGUUCGAGAGAGGUGAGUGGAAUUCCGAGUGUAGAGGUGAAAUUCGUAGAUAUUCGGAGGAACACCAGUGGCGAAGGCGGCUCACUGGCUCGAUACUGACGCUGAGGUGCGAAAGCGUGGGGAGCAAACAGGAUUAGAAACCCUGGUAGUCCC
rnacentral:rRNA from 1 species